CUUGUACUCCCUCCGUCCGAAAAUACUUGUCAUUUAAAUGGAUGUAUCUAGAUGUAUUUUAGUUCUAGACACAUCCAUUUUGAUGACAAGUAAUUCCGGACGGAGGGAGUACUUG
rnacentral:pre_miRNA from 1 species